AUUGAACGCUGGCGGCAGGCUUAACCCAUGCAAGUCGAGCGAGCGGCGGACGGGUGAGUAAUGUCUGGGCAACUGCCUGAUGGAGGGGGAUAACUACUGGAAACGGUAGCUCAUACCGGAUACCCUCAGAUGUGCCCAGAUGGGAUUAGCUAGUAGGUGGGGUAAUGGCUAACAUAGGCGACGAUCCCUAGCUGGUCUGAGAGGAUGACCAGCCACACUGGAACUGAGACACGGUCCAGACUCCUACGGGAGGCAGAAGUGGGGAAUAUUGCACAAUGGGCGCAAGCCUGAUGCAGCCAUGCCGCGUGUGUGAAGAAGGCCUUCGGGUUGUAAAGCACUUUCAGCGAGGAGGCGUUACUCGCAGAAGAAGCUCCGGCUAACUCCGUGCCAGCAGCCGCGGUAAUUC
rnacentral:rRNA from 1 species